rnacentral:miRNA from 1 species
UUCUCAGGUUAGACAGUCCUCG